rnacentral:hammerhead_ribozyme from 1 species
AUCCAACUGACGAGUACCAGAUAGGACGAGACUCAUGUCCUGGAU